CUGCUGCCUUCCGUAGGAGUCUGGGCCGUAUCUCAGUCCCAAUGUGGCCGUUCAACCUCUCAGUCCGGCUACUGAUCGUCGCCUUGGUAGGCCGUUACCCCACCAACUAGCUAAUCAGACGCAAGCCCAUCUAUCAGCGGAUUGCUCCUUUCCCUAUUGCAUCAUGCGAUGCUUAGGUAUAUGCGGUAUUAGCAGUCAUUUCUAACUGUUGUUCCCCUCUGAUAGGCAGGUUG
rnacentral:rRNA from 1 species